AUUGAACGCUGGCGGCAGGCCUAACACAUGCAAGUCGAGCGAUAACGGUCUUCGGACUUAUUAAAGCGGCGGACGGGUGAGUAACGCGUGGGAAUCUUCCCAGUAGUGGGGGACAACAGUUGGAAACGACUGCUAAUACCGCAUACGUCCUACGGGAGAAAGGGGGCCUCUAUUUAUAAGCUCUCGCUAUUGGAUGAGCCCGCGUAAGAUUAGCUAGUUGGUGGGGUAAAAGCCUACCAAGGCGACGAUCUUUAGCUGGUCUGAGAGGAUGAUCAGCCACACUGGAACUGAGACACGGUCCAG
rnacentral:rRNA from 1 species